ACAUGCGCGCAAACCCGGAAGCGGAUUAUGUGGAGUGAAAGUUACACCGUGGCGGAUUGACUUCUAAGGACUCUUGGUACAUGAGGAAGAAACCCGGAAGGGGAAGAGGAAAGCAAAGGCGUCAGGAAUGGUUCUUCCUCAGGGUCUAUUGACAUUCAGGGAUGUGGCCAUAGAAUUCUCUCAGGAGGAGUGGAAAUGCCUGGACCCUGCUCAGAGGACUCUAUACAGAGAUGUGAUGUUGGAGAAUUAUAGGAACCUGGUCUCCCUGGGACAUGAUCUCAUUCUUUUUUUUCUUUUUCCGAGAUGGAGUUUUUGCUCUUGUUGCCCAGGCUGGAGUGCAGUGGCACAAUCUCGGCUCACCACCACCUCCGCCUCCCGGGUUCAAGCGAUUCUCCCGCCUCAGCCUCAGAAGUUGCUGGAAUUACAGGUAUUUUUUCUAAAUGUGAGAUCAAGGAAUUACCACCAAAAAAGGAGAGUAAUACAGGAGAAAUAUUCCAGACAGUAAUGUUGGAAAGACAUGAAAGCCACGACAUACAAGAUUUUUGCUUCAGAGAAACCCA
rnacentral:lncRNA from 10 species